GAUGAACGCUAGCUACAGGCUUAACACAUGCAAGUCGAGGGGUAACGAGAGGAAAGCUUGCUUUCCUUGUCGACGACCGGCGCACGGGUGAGUAACGCGUAUCCAACCUGCCCCCAACUAAGGAAUAACCUUGCGAAAGUAAGACUAAUACCUUAUAAUUUCUUCAGAUGUCAUCUGACGAGGAAUAAAGAUUUAUCGGUUGUGGAUGGGGAUGCGUCUGAUUAGCUUGUUGGCGGAGUAACGGCCCACCAAGGCAACGAUCAGUAGGGGUUCUGAGAGGAAGGUCCCCCACAUUGGAACUGAGACACGGUCCAAACUCCUACGGGAGGCAGCAGUGAGGAAUAUUGGUCAAUGGGCGAAAGCCUGAACCAGCCAAGUAGCGUGCAGGAUGACGGCCCUAUGGGUUGUAAACUGCUUUUAUACAGGAAUAAAGUUAGCCACGUGUGGUUAUUUGUAGGUACUGUAUGAAUAAGGACCGGCUAAUUCCGUGCCAGCCGCCGCAGUAA
rnacentral:rRNA from 1 species